CUCUUUCUUGUACUGAGAUGGGAGGUGGCUGGUGAGGGAGGAGCCCAUGAGCUCGCAGGCAGUGCCGCGCCUCCGGCCUCUGCGUUUGCCUUUAACACUAACUGUACUGUUUUUUCUAUUCACGUGUGUCUAGCUGCAGGACGUAACAUGGAAAACAGUAGCUGAAGAUUACAUUCAAAGGACUUUCUUAAGGUUAAGUUUUUACAUUUAAUCUGCUGUUUACCUAAACUUGUAUGUAUAAUUUUUGGGUGGGUGUGGGAAAUUGCUUUGCUAAAAAUAAGCUCCCAGGGUGUUUCAAACCUAGAGAAGACCACGGGACAGUAUUUUUUAUCAAAGGAAUCCUAUUUUUUCACACUACGUAACCUGGCUGCUCUGAUGCCCCAGAGCGGAACGGGGCCUCCCGCCCUGGCUCAGGGGCCAGGGCCCUGGUGCUGGGCUUGCUCCCCACCGUGGCCACGGCUGGAAGCAGGAGGGGCCUCCAGGCCGUGGACACCCCCCCACACCCCCUGCACGCUCGCAGCUCACCACCCAGGGGUCUUCAUUUCCAUCGAAACGGGGCUCCAGGAGGCAUGGGCCACGGCCCCAACCUCGGUGCUGCAGGGUGGGCCAGCUGCUCGGGUGCCUGGGGAGGUCGAGGGGCCCGACCGCAUCAGCCUGGUUUCUUUCACCUUCUGUGUUUUCCCUCCUCAAAGGAGCACCAUGGCUUUUGAAACACUUAGUGGGGGACAUUUUGGUGAAGAUGCAAUAUUUUUAUCUCAUGUGAUGCUCUUUCCUCACUUGACCUUGGCCACAUUGUCCCCACAGUCCACAGCCCCCCACCCUGACCCCCACCCUCUUCUCUGGCGCUCCAGUGCCAGGCCCGGGGCCUGGCGGCUGGGAGGGGCUGGCGGCUGGGGAGGAGUGCCAGCAAUAGUUCGUAGUGAAAACCUGUGGGCUCUCAAAGCUAAUUUUUUACUAAAGUUUUUAUACAGCCUCAAGUUGUUUUAUUAAAAAAAAGAUUUAAAAUGGUGAUGCUUACAGCAGUUUGUACAAGCUCUUAGUGUCGACUCCAUGGAACUGACAGCUUCGCUCAUUUUGAUUUGGUUUUAUUUUUUGCCCCUUCUUUCCUUCCUUCCUUUUUUUGUUCGUUUGCCCCUUUCUUUCUUACCGGUUUAAGUUUGGGGUUACACUGGGGUCCUUUGGCCUUUUUUAGCAGAGUGUCCGUCUGUCCGUCCAUCUGCAUCUGUCCCGGGACUCAGGGCGCCCCUCGCUGGAGCCGCCUCCUUUGGGAGGAGCCAUGGGGCGUGACCUUGAGGCUGAGCGGGCUGGCGGACGGAGGGGAGGAAAGCCUUUCCAAUAAUGCCGAGCGUGGUGGGCCGGCUCCCUGGGACACGAGCAGCACUUCUAAGCCAUAUAGACCUGCAGAGGCCCGGGCUGCUCUGGAGGGAGGCCCCGAGGUCUGCCCCCGGCCUUCUCCGCAGGCCCAGCCCUCCCUGCCGGCCCCAGUGGAGCUUGAGUGGGCAGUGCUGUGGGGCGCCGGCAGACGGAGGCUCUGUGGACAUCGGGUGACCAGGCCUGUGCCUCCAAGUCCUGAUCCAAGCCAGAGUUCCCCGAUGCCCCAGAGGCAGGAGCACACGUGGGUCUGACCUGGAGAGGCCAUUUUUGAUGACCUCAUCAGAAAGUAAACAAUUCUGGCGUUCCAGGUGAGGGCUCUGACAGGCUUUCCCAACAGCACAGUUGCCCCUAGCAACCCCACCAUGAGGCACGGCCAUGCAGAGAUGUGGCUGGCCCAGAAUGGCCCGUUGCCAUAGCAACUGGAGGCACUGGGGCAGUGAACAGAAUAACAAGAGCAACAAUGCCCUUGCAGGCACCCCCCCCCUUCCCCCCCUACGGGCUGCUGAUGGCCCAUGGUGUCGGACUCUGAGACAGCCGGCCUCACAUUCAAGUGUUCACCAACCACUGGCGUGUUUUAUUUCCUUCUGUAUGGGUUUCAGACGUGUUUUCUGCAUUCUGUAUAGAAACAUAUCAAACUAAAUAAAAGCAGUGUCUUUAUUACAA